UAGUACACACAAUCCUUUUGACACCACAGAAUGUAUUGAAUGCCAAUUGUACUGCUUCAUACUCAAAGAUCUUUCUUAAAGGAAUAAAACAUCUGUCUGUGCAUUCAGAACAUGGCUCACAAGAAGAAUUAAAACUUAUUAUACACAAUAUGGAAAGAAUGGAUGUUAUUUGCCCAAAUCUAAAGCACCAGGUACCAGACUGUGAAGUACAGGAUACGUCCACUUUCCAAUUCCUGAGACAAUUUACGAAGUUUCUUCAAAAAAUAAAAAGGUCCGACUGUUUCAGACUAAGAAGUGAAUAUCCA